rnacentral:lncRNA from 1 species
CGACAGAGUUGUGAAAGAAGAAAAAGGAUUCUGCUAGUCUGUGGUACUUUCUUAAAACUGCAUUGGUGGUUAAGGGCUUGACCUGAGCCCUAGGACCAUGCCUCAGGACUACCUGGCAUGAUGACUCCUUGCUGUCCCCAGUCCACCUGGCCGUGCUGCUGCUCCAGUUUCAGCUGUUCUGCCUGCGGCUAUGGAACCCUGACCUGUUCACCGGAUGUGCUUGUUGCACCCUCGACAACUACUAUGAUUAUUAUUAUUUGACCAUGCUGGUCAUUUAUGAACAUUUUAACAUCUUGACCAUGUUCUGUUAUAAUAUCCACCCGGCACAGCCAGAAGAGGACUGGCCACCCCUCAUAGCCUGGUUCCUCUCUAGGUUUCUUCCUAGGUUUUUGGCCUUUCUAGGGAGUUUUUCCUAGGGAGUUUUUCCUAGCCACCGUGCUUCUUUCACAUGCAUUGCUUGCUGUUUGGGGUUUUAGGCUGGGUUUCUGUACAGCACUUUGAGAUAUCAGCUGAUAUACGAAGGGCUAUAUAAAUACAUUUGAUUUGAUUUGAUUUGAUAUUAUGGCAACUAGAUGGCAGCAUUGUAUGUGCAACGUUUUAGACUGAUCCAUUAAACCAUUGCUUAUCUGUCCAAAUGUUGUAUCAAGACUGCCCAAAUGUGCCCAAUUGGUUUCUUAAUACAUUUUCAAGUUCAUAAUUGUGCACUCUCC